GCCGCCGCCUCUCUCCCGUUCAGUAUUGCCGCCGCCGUCGUCUUUCCUCCGCUCGUGCCGCCCCAGCCUCUCUCCUGACGGGUUUGCGCUGAUUUUCUACUCUCCUGUUGUUACUGAACAGCAACGAGUAACAAAAGAAAAAAAAAGGCUUGCGGCAAAUUGGGACUUCUGGAACUGCCUAUUGAUUUGUUGCAUAUGUCUGUCAACAAAG
rnacentral:misc_RNA from 1 species